GACAAUUUAGCUCAGUUGGUUAGAGCGUGGAGCUAAUAUGCGUAAGCUUACUCCAAGGUCAACAGUUCGAGCCUGUUACUUGUCA